GCAGCGCAGUGACACAGGCUGGCGAUAUUGCCACUGAACACUAACUUCUCAUACACAGAGACAGACAGAGAAAAACCUUUUCAGAACCGCGGCAAGCCAAGAAGAGGCAAAGAGGGUGUAUGUGCCAGACAUGGUUUGCAAACUCCCAAACUGAGCACCUGCUGUCGACAUUCGGAGCUCCACCCUGAAGACAAGUGCAACGCGAUGAGGAACAUACCGACCUAGGAGCCUUGUUCUGUUAAUAUUUCUUAAAAUGGUGUAUAUGACUAACUACAUCUGCUUCUAUCCAAGGUUUCUAAAAUGGUUUAUAAGCACAGAAGUUAUUUUUACAGGGUUAUAGUGAAUCAGCAAGCAUAAUAAAAUUCCAUUCUUCCUAUAAUUGACAAAAUAUGUCAUUGCUUAUGAUGUAAUAAUACAUUCCGGGACAGAUUUUGAAGAUAAGUAAGAUGCAAGCAAUUUGAACUCAUCAUGAGUGACUGUUGUGUUGCUCCCAUGAGUAUAUUAAAAAUCUCAUCCAGA